rnacentral:lncRNA from 1 species
UUCAUAAUACUUAACAAUGUUCAUAAAAUUUAAAAUAAAUCUAUAAUAUUUAACAAUAUUCAUAAAAUUUAAAAUAAAUUCAUAAUAUUUUACAAUGUUCAUAAAAUUAAAAAGAAAUCCAUAAUACUUAACAAUAUUUAUAAAAUUUAAAACUAAUCUAUGAAUUUGUUGAACCAUCUGAAUCUGCAGUUGUGUUAUGCGGUGAAGAUAUAUUUUUGUUCUUCAAUGAUUUCAUCUGAUCUUUUAUCUGUUUUUCUAUCUGCACUCGCAUUUNNN